GGCUAUGCCUCAAUUGAUAAAGUGAACUAAUUGCCUACUUCAAAAGCAGUUUUGCAUGAAAGUCAACAUCUAAUUGGAAUUUACAAUGCCCGAUAUUUCUACACAUCUGCCACAAAUUUUAUGGAAAACAAUAUUUAUAGAAACUGAACAUACCUUGGUUAAACGUAUAUGAAAUGGAU